rnacentral:rRNA from 1 species
UUUAAUUCGAAGCAACGCGAAGAACCUUACCAGGCCUUGACAUGCAGAGAACUUUCCAGAGAUGGAUUGGUGCCUUCGGGAACUCUGACACAGGUGCUGCAUGGCUGUCGUCAGCUCGUGUCGUGAGAUGUUGGGUUAAGUCCCGUAACGAGCGCAACCCUUGUCCUUAGUUACCAGCACGUUAUGGUGGGCACUCUAAGGAGACUGCCGGUGACAAACCGGAGGAAGGUGGGGGAUGACGUCAAGUCAUCAUGGCCCUUACGGCCUGGGCUACACACGUGCUACAAUGGUCGGUACAAAGGGUUGCCAAGCCGCGAGGUGGAGCUAAUCCCAUAAAACCGAUCGUAGUCCGGAUCGCAGUCUGCAACUCGACUGCGUGAAGUCGGAAUCGCUAGUAAUCGUGAAUCAGAAUGUCACGGUGAAUACGUUCCCGGGCCUU